AUUGAACGCUGGCGGCAGGCUUAACACAUGCAAGUCGAGCGAGCGGCGGACGGGUGAGAAAUGUAUGGGACACUGCCUGAUGGAGGGGGAUAACUACGGGAAACGGUAGCUAAUCCCGCUUACCAUCAGAUGUGCCCAGAUGGGAGUAGCUAGUAGGUGGGGGAAUGGCUCACCUAGGCGACGAUCCCUAGCUGGGCGGAGAGGAUGACCAGCCACACUGGAACUGAGACACGGUCCAGACUCCUACGGGAGGCGGGAGUGGGGAAUAUUGCACAAGGGGCUGAAGCCUGAUGCAGCCAUGCCGCGUGUGUGAAGAAGGCCUUCGGGUUGUAAAGCACUUUCAGCGAUGAGGCGUUACUCGCAGAAGAAGCACCGGCUAACUCCGUGCCAGCAGCCGCGGUAAUUC
rnacentral:rRNA from 1 species